rnacentral:rRNA from 1 species
UACGUAGGCAGCGAGCGUUGUUCGGAGUUACUGGGCGUAAAGGGUGUGUAGGCGGUUUUCUAAGUUUGGUGUGAAAUCUCCCGGCUUAACCGGGAGGGUGCGCCGAAAACUGGGAGACUAGAGUGCGGGAUGGGAGAGUAGAAUUCCUGGUGUAGCGGUGAAAUUCGUAGAUAUUAGGAAGAACACCAGUGGCGAAGGCGGCUCACUGGUCCGGUACUGACGCUGAUGUGCGAAAGCGUGGGGAGCAAACAGG